AGCCUGGCAUGCUGCAGUCCAUGGGGUUGCAGAGCCGGACACGACAGAGCAACUGAACUGAACUGAAGCAAAAACCAGGCCCCACUUAAUUCUUAUCUACUAAACUCAAUUGUCAGCAGGACACAAAACUCUUGCUAUCUUUGAUGAUGUACCUACAGACCCUAAAAUUGUUCACAGAAUACAAAAGCCUAAGUACUCUCAUAAAAAUUGUUCUUGGUAGGCUGGCGGCGGGCCGAGGGGUGGGGACGCCGGCCGGGUCGGGGGCUUGCAGAGCCAUGAACGGGGCAGGGUCGGGCCCUCGCCGGCGGGCGCGAAUGUCCCGCCUCGUCUCCUUCAGCGCGACCCACCGCCUGCACAGCAAAUCUCUUAGUAAUGAAGAAAACUUGAAAUUAUUUGGGAAGUGCAACAACCCAAAUGGCCAUGGGCACAAUUAUAAAGUUGUGGUGACAGUACAUGGAGAGAUUGAUCCUGUUACAGGAAUGGUCAUGAAUUUGACUGACCUCAAGGAGUGUAUGGAGGAGGCGAUUAUGAAGCCCCUUGAUCAUAAGAAUCUGGAUCUAGAUGUGCCAUAUUUUGCAGACAUUGUAAGCACAACGGAAAAUGUAGCCGUAUAUAUCUGGGAAAACCUCCAGAAAUUUUUUCCUGUGGGAGUUCUUUAUAAAGUAAAAAUAUAUGAAACUGACAAUAAUAUUGUGGUCUAUAAAGGAGAAUAACUCCUAGAGAUUAAUUUCCAUCCAUAUUUGAAGAUCUUUAUCCCCUUGAACAAUUAAGAAGUCAUCACCUAACUGUUGCACUUCCACAUUGUGUUCUGGAAUCACUGUGAGUGAGUCCUGUUCUAGACUCAAAUCUAAUUUAAAACCAAGUUUGUAAUGUAUUCUGAGUAUCAUUUAAAGAGUUGUUCAUCUAUAGAUUAAAAUCACUUCAGCAAAAAAAAAAAAAAAA